UAAGAUUGAAGUUCUCAAACAGAUUUGGUACUUCCAUUCCCAAAAUCAAAAUUUAAGAAAAAGACCUUCAGUUAUAGUGGAGCAACUCUUUGGAAUAACUUAUCAAUUACUGCAAAACAAUCCAAUUCUAUGAGUUGUUUCAAAAGACUAAUGAAGCUACAUUUUCGAAAACAAUAAUUAUGUAAAUAGUUUGUAUGUUUGUUAUUUAUUUAUGUUUGCUAAUUGUCUAAAGAAUAAUUAUGUCAAUAGUUUGUGUGCUGUAUAUGUAUUAGUCUUAAUCUUACACGUCCCCUAUGCCUAUGGAAAUCAUCGAAAGGUGUUAGGGCUAACGUGUUUAAAUAAUUUU